CCUGCGGAAGGAUCAUUAAAAAGCUUGCGAGGGACUCGUCCCCAACGCAUCCAUCCUCUGAAUAUAUACCUAGUUGCUUUGGCGGCGCCUGGGCAUCACGCCCCGGUGGCUACGGCUGCCGAGUGCCCGCCGGAGGUAAUCAAACUCUUGCUUAAACAAUGCAGUCUGAUACACAAAAUAAUAGUUAAAACUUUCAACAACGGAUCUCUUGGUUCUCGCAACGAUGAAGAACGCAGCGAAAUGCGAUAAGUAAUGUGAAUUGCAGAAAUCGUGAAUCAUCGAAUCUUUGAACGCACAUUGCGCUCCCUGGUAUUCCGGGGAGCAUGCCUGUUCGAGCGUCAUUACAACCUCAAGCCCCGCUUGGUAUUGGUGGCUCGCCCCUCCCGGGGCGUCCCCUAAAAUGAGCGGCACAGCUGCCCGUCCCUAAGCGUAGUAAUAUUUUCUCGCUCAGAGGUGCACGGGUGGACUGCGGCCGGACAACCAGCCAAACUUACCAAUUGUUGACCUCGGAUCAGGUAGGGAUACCCGCUGAACUUAAGCAU
rnacentral:misc_RNA from 1 species